GAAUGACUUGUUUUACAAUGACUUGUGAUCCUGUUUUGUGAUAGCAAGUGUUUUAAACCUUUGCUAUUUGACAAACUUUUCAAAAUCAAAUUAUAAAUUAUGCCUUUUUCUGACUUAAUUCAUCUUUUAAGAUAUUAGGUUUCCUAAAGUCCAAAAAUGACAUCAUUUGUCUUAUUUGGUACAAAAAUUGUGCAGGAAGCAUUGUCAAAUAUGAAAUUCUGUUUGGUUUUCCUUGGGCUAUAUUUGUAUAAAUGUGUUAUUGAUAUGUGCUCCAAAAUUUGAGGAAACUCCUGUAAUUCUGAUAUGACUUAGUGUAUAUUACCAGUAAUAAUGGUAAUUGUUAUGUUAAAAUUAUUGUCUGUCAUAAAGGUAACAAAUUUCCUUGUCAAUUGUCUUUGAGUAUGGCUUCCCUAAAACUUUUUGUUACCCUUGGACAAUUGCUCUGUUGUUUUGUUCCUCUUUAGAAGGUGAUUUUAUAAUCAGCUACAAAACUCUAGCAAAUGCUCUUGAAUGCAGUUUUCUGAUGACUUUGGAGACUGUGGCUUCAGAAUAAAGGAAAACUUUCAGGAGUCAUGGAGAGCGAAAAUGUUUAUAAAUAUCAAGCAGAACAGGAGCUAACUGCAAGGACUAAACUAGUCUUUUCUACUUUUUGCUUAAAAUGUUGCUGAUCAUUUGUUUUGUUUUCCAGAGUCUUGAAAAUUUCUUUUGAGGGAUUGACAGCUUUUAGCAGUUUAGUAUACUCCUAUCAACAAAAUUUGGAGCAUAUUUGUUUUUCUUUCUUUACCUGAUUUCUCCAGAAUUUGGAAUUUAUUUGUGAGUAUUUGUAACAUAUGGCAAUCCAGUUAUUUACAUAAGUGCAACAAGAAUUUGCUUUUAUUUGUAACAGGACACAAUUGGAGAAAUUUAUUUUACCAAGGCUUUGACUGGAAUGGUGUGUUGUCCUUUAAGGAAUCAAACUUGACUUAUGGAGCCAUUAAAAGCACUUGGAAAAACUGGCCUCAUACUUUACACAGUCUCUGUGCAUGGUUUCUGACCUGUGGAUAUGAGAUUUCACAACCUGCUAAAAAUGAACUUUCAGGACCUACCCAUCCAGGAAUAAAUUAUCCUAGCUAUGAAAGAUCAGGUAAAACCUGAGACCAGAAACUAAUUUUCUUCUAAAAUGCUUUCUCCAAAAGAUUUGUAAAAAUAAAAUGGGGAAAAUGUGAAAGGAAAAUCUUGAGGCUGCAAAAUUACUUAGCUAAUGGGAAAAGUCAAGCUGGGAACUGCUCAGGGCAAACCUGCCUCUCACUCCAUUCCAAGUCAUCUUCAUGCUUUCUGAGAUGCAUAUCUGAUUGCCUCCUUUGGAAAAGCUUAUCAGAAACUCAAAACAAUGCAAUCAUUUGCCUCUUGCCUACCGGUGACUUGUAAGCACCCUCCCUGCUUCGAAUUUCUUCAUCUGUCUGGAUGGAACCAAUGUGCUUCUUGCAUAUAUUGAUUAUUGUCUCAUGUCUUUCUAAAAUGUGUAAAAUGUUUCUGAACACCUUAGGCACAUGUUGUCAGGACUUCCUGAGGCUGUGCCACAGGUGCACAUUCUCAACCUUGGCAAAAUAAACUUUGUAAAUUAACUGUCUCAAAUGUUGGGGGUUCACAAUCAUAGAGCUAAUGAAUGAUGGAGCUAUAAGUGCCCACGUGGCUCUUGCUGCACACUGCAUAAAGAAAUAUCAUGGCAUUGUAGUAGAGAAAGAGUUUAAUAGACACAAGGCUGGCCACGCCACAUUGGAGAUGGAGUUCCUACUUGAAUCAUCUCAUCAGAAGCUCAUAGGUUAGGGUAUUGUCAAAGGCAGUUUUGGGAAAAGGGUUGGGGUGACCAGGUAACAGGUGCUUGCUGCUGAUUUGUUGGGUAGAGAUGAAAUCAUUGGGGAUCUAAGCUGUCCUUCUGAAUCGCUUUGCUUCUGGGUGGGGCCACAGGAGGGGGCGGGAGCCAUGGAUUUCAGACAUGCAAAAAAACCUCGAAAGAUAUCUCCAAAGGCCAACCUAUAAAAUGGUUUUAUUUUCAGAAAUAAUUGGGGAAGUUGCAUAUCUUAUAACCUCUGGAAUAAUGGCUGACUAUCAUUUAUGUCGGUGCCUUAGCAGGACUCAGGCUCCUCUUUUCCCCCAAGCCUGAAGCCUACCAUUCACUGUAUAAAAGCAGUUGAGUUUUGGGCAAGGCCUAUUAUCAUUUACACUGCAGCCUAAAUGUCUUUCAAAGUUGGCUCAGCAACCUGGAAACAAUUAAGGGAAAGGCAAGGGUUGGAGAGAGUUGGCUUAGUUGACUAUCAUAAUUUUUCUAACUGAUAGAAUUUUCGCAAAGACAAUUUCAAAGCCAGUUCUCAAACCCAGGUCUGUCUGAUUCAAGCUGUGUUCUAACCACCUAACCACCAAUGUUCUAACCAUUUCACUUUUUUCUGAGCCUCAGUUUCUUUACUGUAGAAUAAGGGAGUGCAAUGGAUAACAGGACGUCAUAAGUCCUUUUCAGCUCUGGAAGAAUGAGUCCAACAGCGCAGACUAGAAUUUAGAAUGAAGGUUGUCUUCCUUGCCUUCUGCUCUUUUUUAUUCUCUUGGGAGAGAAAGAAAAUCUGUCUUCAAGUUGGAAGAAUUGUCUUAUGAAGGAGUGAGCUGGCUCAAUCUCUGAGCCCUGAAGCAAGAGAUGCCAAAUGAAAAUUACAUUUGGUUCCACAACAACUUUCUAACAUGCAAAAAACUUAGUGUCCUUUACGUAUUAUGAGUCUAAUAAUUUUAGGAUCAAAUAAAGAGUUUAGAAUUUGGGAAACUUAUCACCAGGUAUAAUCUUAAGGCAUGUCUGCAUCUACCUUAGAGACUAACUCUGGUUUGGAGUUAAGCUGAAUUUUUGAGGCUGCUGUGGCCAAUGAAUCAAAAAAAUAUGUAGAUAUCUUAGAGUGGGAAGGACUUGAGAGAUCACAUUGCCCAUUGCCUUUAUUUUACAAAUGAGUGAACUGAGGCCAAGACAGCGUCAAGAUUUGCAUGAUUACCUAGACAUGGGACACUGCCCUGAGCUAUUAUGCAAUCCUGUGUAACAAUUGGGAAAGUUUAAC
rnacentral:lncRNA from 1 species